rnacentral:tRNA from 1 species
AUCUUUGUAGUUGAACCACAACAACAGCUUUUCACGCUAUAAGUUUGGGUUAAACCCCCAAUAAGGAUC